rnacentral:rRNA from 1 species
AUUGAGCGCUGGCGGCAGGCCUAACACAUGCCAGUCGAGCGGAUGAAGGGAGCUUGCUCCUGGAUUCAGCGGCGGACGGGUGAGUAAUGCCUAGGAAUCUGCCUGGUAGUGGGGGAUAACGUCCGGAAACGGGCGCUAAUACCGCAUACGUCCUGAGGGAGAAAGUGGGGGAUCUUCGGACCUCACGCUAUCAGAUGAGCCUAGGUCGGAUUAGCUAGUUGGUGGGGUAAAGGCCUACCAAGGCGACGAUCCGUAACUGGUCUGAGAGGAUGAUCAGUCACACUGGAACUGAGACACGGUCCAGACUCCUACGGGAGGCAGCAGUGGGGAAUAUUGGACAAUGGGCGAAAGCCUGAUCCAGCCAUGCCGCGUGUGUGAAGAAGGUCUUCGGAUUGUAAAGCACUUUAAGUUGGGAGGAAGGGCAGUAAGUUAAUACCUUGCUGUUUUGACGUUACCAACAGAAUAAGCACCGGCUAACUUCGUG